rnacentral:lncRNA from 1 species
CAGGCGUCCACCUGGAGAAUGAGGAUGAGAAAAAGAAGAAGUCAGGCGUCCACCUGGAGAAUGAGGAUGAGAAAAAGAAGAAGUCAGGCGUCCACCUGGAGAAUAAGGAUGAGAAUUAAAAGAAGUCAGGCGUCCACCUGGAGAAUGAGGAUAAGAAUUGAAGAAGUCAGGCGUCCACCUGGAGAAUGAGGAUGAGAAUUAAAAGAAGUCAGGCGUCCACCUGGAGGAUGAGGAUGAAGAAUUAAAGAAAUCAGGCGUCCGCUUGGAGAAUGAGGAUGAAGAAUUAAAGAAAUCAGGCGUCCACCUGGAGAAUGAGGAUGAGAAUUAAAGAAAUCAGGCGUCCACCUGGAGAAUGAGGAUGAGAAAAAGAAGAAGUCAGGCGUCCACCUGGAGAAUGAGGAUGAGAAAAGAAGAAGUCAGGCGUCCACCUGGAGAAUGAGGAUGAGAAAAGAAGAAGUCAGGCGUCCACCUGGAGAAUGAGGAUGAAAGAAUUAAAGAAGUCAGGCGUCCACCUGGAGAAUGAGGAUGAGAAUUAAAGAAGUCAGGCAUCCACCUGGAGAAUGAGGAUGAGAAA